rnacentral:rRNA from 1 species
UUUAUGGCUUGUCGUCACCUGGGGUCGAGAGAUGGGGUUAAACUCCCCAAACGAGCCAACCCCUUCCCUUUAGUCCCAUCAUUUAGUUGGGCACUCUAAGGAGACUGCCGGUGACAAACCGGAGGAAGGUGGGGAUGACGUCAAGUCAUCAUGGCCCUUAUGGGUAGGGCUACACACGUCAUACAAUGGUCGGUACAAAGGGUUGCCAACCCGCGAGGUGGAGCCAAUCCCAAAAACCCGAUCGUAGUCCGGAUGGAGUCUGCAACUCGACUCCGGAAGUCGGAAUCGCUAGUAAUCGCGGAUCAG